GGCUCUGUGGCGCAAUGGUAGCGCGUGCCCCUCCUAUAGUAAGGGCAAGGUUCUGUAAGUCAUAAAAAUGCAAGAAAUUGAGAAAGAAUCAUACUAACAACCAUUAAAGGGGUUCGAGUCCCAGCUGGGUCU